UUUUCUUCUUCCUUUCUUUCUUCCGGUCACUUUUAUGUCAUUUACAUUGUAUAUAUUCUCAUUUAUUGCUAUCGUUGUUAAAAUUGGAAUCAAAUGCAAUGUCGUUUAAAUAAAUUUCUAUUUGCUACUCCCGUUAAUUGUAGCGAGUCAGCUUUGACAUACUUUUGGUGAAUAAUUAUUUCAUUUAAUGUCCAAUUUAGCUGUGUCGCCCCAUUUGUUGUCUUCUGAAUAUGGCAGGAUUUGAUGAAAAUUGAAAUGGCAAGUUGUUAGUAUUAUAAUCGUGUUUUUAUAAUAUUUACGCUGAAAAUGACACUAAAGAAAAAAAAUGGUAGCUACUAGUUUCAACAAAUUCUUUGGUUUCUUUUAGAUAUUUCCUCAGCGCAUGUGAAGUUCGACUAAUUUUUGAAUGUUGCAUUUUUACUCUCAACAGCAGUAGGCAGCUUUAUUUUAUGACUACCUCUUCUAGCAGGAGAAUUGCAGAUUGUGAAUGUUCAUAUAGAGUUUGAUAUUUAGAAGGAGAAGGAAAGAGUGUGUUUCUGUGGGUUGCUAUGUUGAGAACUUGGUGUUGAAUUGAUUAUUUUAAUUUGAAUAAGUAAGGAGGCGAGUUUUCAAAUGUUUUGGCGUUUACCAUGAUUAAUUGGUCUUAACCAUAGAAGUGAAUAAUUCUUGACAUGAGAAGUUGGUAGCAGCUAAGCUUAAGCUGGUGGUCAUGUUCAAGACUGUUCAAGAGAUUGGUGUUUACAUUCACCGGUUUCAUAACCUUGACCUUUUCCAGCAAGGGUAAGUAUAUUUCUAACCAUUCACUGACUGCAAACUUUUUUGCUGACUUUUUAAUGAAUCUUUCUGCUGGCUGCAUUUGUGAUUUGUUUAGAUGGUAUCAAAUUAAGAUUAGCAUGAGAUAUGAGGACAGUGAUAUCUUGGGAACUCAAACAAACGUAAAUCCGAAUUGCGCAAUUCACGACGGCGAGAUCUUUCAUUCCUCUUCCUCUUCCUCUCAACACACCAACCAAGCUAAUAAUUAUGAAUUAUGAAACCCUAACACUGUUUCUAAUUCUGAGUCCUCUACUUUUGCCGAUCUGAAACUGAGGUUUGUUCUUUUUCUUCUUCCUUUCUUUCUUCCGGUCACUUUUAUGUCAUUUACAUUGUAUAUAUUCUCAUUUAUUGCUAUCGUUGUUAAAAUUGGAAUCAAAUGCAAUGUCGUUUAAAUAAAUUUCUAUUUGCUACUCCCGUUAAUUGUAGCGAGUCAGCUUUGACAUACUUUUGGUGAAUAAUUAUUUCAUUUAAUGUCCAAUUUAGCUGUGUCGCCCCAUUUGUUGUCUUCUGAAUAUGGCAGGAUUUGAUGAAAAUUGAAAUGGCAAGUUGUUAGUAUUAUAAUCGUGUUUUUAUAAUAUUUACGCUGAAAAUGACACUAAAGAAAAAAAAUGGUAGCUACUAGUUUCAACAAAUUCUUUGGUUUCUUUUAGAUAUUUCCUCAGCGCAUGUGAAGUUCGACUAAUUUUUGAAUGUUGCAUUUUUACUCUCAACAGCAGUAGGCAGCUUUAUUUUAUGACUACCUCUUCUAGCAGGAGAAUUGCAGAUUGUGAAUGUUCAUAUAGAGUUUGAUAUUUAGAAGGAGAAGGAAAGAGUGUGUUUCUGUGGGUUGCUAUGUUGAGAACUUGGUGUUGAAUUGAUUAUUUUAAUUUGAAUAAGUAAGGAGGCGAGUUUUCAAAUGUUUUGGCGUUUACCAUGAUUAAUUGGUCUUAACCAUAGAAGUGAAUAAUUCUUGACAUGAGAAG
rnacentral:lncRNA from 1 species